GACGAACGCUGGCGGCGUGCUUAGCGCAUGCAAGUCGAACGGAAAGGCCCUGCUUUUGUGGGGUGCUCGAGUGGCGAACGGGUGAGUAACACGUGAGUAACCUGCCCUUGACUUUGGGAUAACUUCAGGAAACUGGGGCUAAUACCGGAUAGGAGCUCCUGCUGCAUGGUGGGGGUUGGAAAGUUUCGGCGGUUGGGGAUGGACUCGCGGCUUAUCAGCUUGUUGGUGGGGUAGUGGCUUACCAAGGCUUUGACGGGUAGCCGGCCUGAGAGGGUGACCGGCCACAUUGGGACUGAGAUACGGCCCAGACUCCUACGGGAGGCAGCAGUGGGGAAUAUUGCACAAUGGGCGGAAGCCUGAUGCAGCAACGCCGCGUGCGGGAUGACGGCCUUCGGGUUGUAAACCGCUUUCGCCUGUGACGAAGCGUGAGUGACGGUAAUGGGUAAAGAAGCACCGGCUAACUACGUGCCAGCAGCCGCGGUGAUACGUAGGGUGCGAGCGUUGUCCGGAUUUAUUGGGCGUAAAGGGCUCGUAGGUGGUUGAUCGCGUCGGAAGUGUAAUCUUGGGGCUUAACCCUGAGCGUGCUUUCGAUACGGGUUGACUUGAGGAAGGUAGGGGAGAAUGGAAUUCCUGGUGGAGCGGUGGAAUGCGCAGAUAUCAGGAGGAACACCAGUGGCGAAGGCGGUUCUCUGGGCCUUUCCUGACGCUGAGGAGCGAAAGCGUGGGGAGCGAACAGGCUUAGAUACCCUGGUAGUCCACGCUGUAAACGGUGGGUACUAGGUGUGGGGUCCAUUCCACGGGUUCCGUGCCGUAGCUAACGCUUUAAGUACCCCGCCUGGGGAGUACGGCCGCAAGGCUAAAACUCAAAGGAAUUGACGGGGCCCCGCACAAGCGGCGGAGCAUGCGGAUUAAUUCGAUGCAACGCGUAGAACCUUACCUGGGUUUGACAUGGAUCGGGAGCGCUCAGAGAUGGGUGUGCCUCUUUUGGGGUCGGUUCACAGGUGGUGCAUGGCUGUCGUCAGCUCGUGUCGUGAGAUGUUGGGUUAAGUCCCGCAACGAGCGCAACCCUUGUUCACUGUUGCCAGCACGUUAUGGUGGGGACUCAGUGGAGACCGCCGGGGUCAACUCGGAGGAAGGUGGGGAUGACGUCAAGUCAUCAUGCCCCUUAUGUCCAGGGCUUCACGCAUGCUACAAUGGCUGGUACAGAGAGUGGCGAGCCUGUGAGGGUGAGCGAAUCUCGGAAAGCCGGUCUCAGUUCGGAUUGGGGUCUGCAACUCGACCUCAUGAAGUCGGAGUCGCUAGUAAUCGCAGAUCAGCAACGCUGCGGUGAAUACGUUCCCGGG
rnacentral:rRNA from 1 species